CCAAAGUAAUAGGCUUUAUGAAGAAAUUAAAACAACAUAAUGAUAUCUCCGAAGUAUUCAAGUAGGACAAAGACAUCUCCAAAGACAAGUCUGGCUCUAGGCAAGAGGGCUGAAUUAGUGAGCCUAGUGUUCUCUGGGCCCCCUUCCUACAUUGUUAAUUCAGGUGCCAUCCACACGACAUGUGACAGGCCAUGGCGUGAGAGAAGAUUCAUCUUUGCUAAGCUGCUGGCUCCUGCCAGGGGACGCAACAGGUGGAAUGUUCAGGAAGAGAGAGGGAACUAUUUCACAAGCAGCAAGACCUCAAGCAGAAGCAAUGUUUGAAACAAUGGCUGCUUCCAAGACCAGCCUUUCCCAUGCUCAGGGGUGGAGGGGCUAUUCAACCAAUUGCCUGUGUCUGUUGCCAGGGGCAACAGCCAAAUCCAUAGACUCCCUUGUAGGAAGCCCCCACUUGUUUUAGCUCACUGGCUCAAAGACAUAUGUGUCCCUCCACUCAUCUCUCCUUGAUCAUCCAUGCAGGAUUCUUAUUUAAUUGGAUGCUGGCAUUUCCGUCUGCUUUUUUUGAUCUUGUUUAAAGGGAAACUUAUCCUGGUUCUUAACAAUCAGACCAUUUUGAUGUUAUUGUGAUGAUGAGGAAAAUAAGGAUGAUGAUCAUGAUGUCACCAGAUCAAUGCUAAACUGUUGACACUAUCAGUCUUCUAU
rnacentral:lncRNA from 10 species